rnacentral:lncRNA from 1 species
GGGACAGAAGGAAGGCAGCGCCUGCUAUCACUGUCAGAUUAGAGGCGGAAGUGGCUGGGGCACCCGGCAGCCUCUCGGGGGUGCUGGCGGGGCUGGGCAGAGCUGGGGUGGCAGCAGCAGGGCAGGGAGGGGAGGGGACCCCAAGACCGGGAGGCUUCCCCUCUUUGCUGGCUCUAUGGGGGAACCUCCCAGACAGCCAGGGCUUGGGGCCAGGCGGACCACAGCUCUGACACCACAGUAGAGGCCCAGAAACAAACCACCUCCUCCAGGGAGCCUCCAGGACCGCAACUCAGCACACUCCAGCUGGAGGGGACCCCGUAUCUCUUCACUUCCUCAAGCCUCCCUUGCCAGGAAAUGCGGGCUGCAGAUAAUCCCACAGCUGGGCGGCACGGGAGGUUCCAGAUGCCGCGUGGCACCGGCCAGGAGAAGCCAGCCGGAGAGGUCAGCUUGCGCCCGGAGAGAUCCCGGCCCAGCCCUGUCGCCGCCAUGCAGGAAACGGUGCCCUCCUGGGCCAGGCAUCUCAGAAAUGCCUUUGAGACUACAGCUGGGCCCCUGAGCCUCCCGGAGCUGCAGCAGGAGCCCUGGGAUGCAGAGUUGGAACCCGAGAGGCUGCAGCCGCUCCUGCCCUCUGGAUAUUGUCCCUCCCUGCAGCCCACACAGGUGAACAUCAGAGGGUAGCCCUGGGUCUUCUUCUCCCAGAAAACACACAUAAGACUUACCAUUUUAACUUUUUCUUUUUGGGUACAGGACCUCACUAUGCAGUCCAGGCUGGCCUGAACUCCCCAUGAUGCUUCUUGUUUCCGCCUCCCAACUGCUGGGAUUACAGGAGUGCACCACCGUGCCCAGCCACGUUAACUAAACUUUUAAGGGUCCAUUUCGGUGUCAUUAAGCACAUUCAUGGUGCUCUGCAACCAUCCACACCACCCAUUUGUAACCUCCCAAACAGGAACUCUGCCUCCAUGAGACAGUAAUUCCCUUCCACCCGCCCCCCGCCAGCCCCACACCUACCAUUCUACCCUCUAAAUCUAUGGAUCAAGUGCUCUACCUCCAUCAUGUAAGAUGGGUCUUAUGGUGUUUGAUGUUUUGCA